rnacentral:rRNA from 1 species
UGCAAGUCGAACGGAAAGGCCCUGCUUGCAGGGUACUCGAGUGGCGAACGGGUGAGUAACACGUGAGUAACCUGCCCCUGACUUCGGGAUAAGCCCGGGAAACUGGGUCUAAUACCGGAUACGACUCCUGCCCGCAUGGGUGGGGGUGGAAAGUUUUGUCGGUUGGGGAUGGGCUCGCGGCCUAUCAGCUUGUUGGUGGGGUAAUGGCCUACCAAGGCGUUUACGGGUAGCCGACCUGAGAGGGUGACCGGCCACACUGGGACUGAGACACGGCCCAGACUCCUACGGGAGGCAGCAGUGGGGAAUAUUGCACAAUGGGCGCAAGCCUGAUGCAGCGACGCCGCGUGGGGGACGACGGCCUUCGGGUUGUAAACUCCUUUCAACCAUGACGAAGCUUUCGGGUGACGGUAGUGGUAGAAGAAGCACCGGCUAACUAC